rnacentral:rRNA from 1 species
UACGUAGGGUGCAAGCGUUAAUCGGAAUUACUGGGCGCAAAGCGUGCGCAGGCGGUUCGCUAAGACCGAUGUGAAAUCCCCGGGCUUAACCUGGGAACUGCAUUGGUGACUGGCGGGCUAGAGUAUGGCAGAGGGGGGUAGAAUUCCACGUGUAGCAGUGAAAUGCGUAGAGAUGUGGAGGAAUACCGAUGGCGAAGGCAGCCCCCUGGGCCAAUACUGACGCUCAUGCACGAAAGCGUGGGGAGCAAACAGG